UACAGAGGUCUCAAGCGUUGUUCGGAUUCAUUGGGCGUAAAGGGUGCGUAGGCGGUGGAGUAAGUCGGAUGUGAAAUACCUUAGCUUAACUAGGGAACUGCAUUCGAUACUACUUUGCUGGAGUAAGACAGAGGUGAGUGGAACUGAGGGUGGAGCGGUGAAAUGCGUUGAUAUCCUCAGGAACACCGGUGGCGAAGGCGACUCACUGGGUCUUUACUGACGCUGAUGCACGAAAGCUAGGGUAGCAAACGGG
rnacentral:rRNA from 1 species